rfam:Schistosoma haematobium scaffold272_32, whole genome shotgun sequence.
AUCCAGCUGAUGAAUCCUAAAUAGGACGAAACGUGCAUCCUGGAU